UACGAAGGGGGCUAGCGUUGCUCGGAAUCACUGGGCGUAAAGCGUGCGUAGGUGGCGCGUUAAGUGAGAUGUUAAAUCGUGUGGCUCAACCAUAUCGAUGCAUCUCAUACUGGCGUGCUAGAGGACAGCAGAGGCAAGUGGAAUUUGUAGUGUAGCAGUGAAAUGCGUAGAUAUUACAAGGAACACCAAUGGCGAAGGCAGCUUGCUGGGCUACUCCUGACACUGAGGUACGAAAGCGUGGGGAGCGAACAGG
rnacentral:rRNA from 1 species